UACGGGGGGGGCAAGCGUUGUUCGGAAUUACUGGGCGUAAAGGGCUCGUAGGCGGCUAACUAAGUCAGACGUGAAAUCCCUCGGCUUAACCGGGGAACUGCAUCUGAUACUGGAUGGCUUGAGUUCGGGAGAGGGAUGCGGAAUUCCAGGUGUAGCGGUGAAAUGCGUAGAUAUCUGGAGGAACACCGGUGGCGGAGGCGGCAUCCUGGACCGACACUGACGCUGAGGAGCGAAAGCCAGGGGAGCAAACGGG
rnacentral:rRNA from 1 species